GUGAAGCGGCAAAAGCUCAAAUUUGAAAUCUGGCACUUUCAGUGUCCGAGUUGUAAUUUGAAGAAGGUAUCUUUGGGUCUGGCUCUUGUCUAUGUUUCUUGGAACAGAACGUCACAGAGGGUGAGAAUCCCGUGCGAUGAGAUGUCCCAGACCUAUGUAAAGUUCCUUCGAAGAGUCGAGUUGUUUGGGAAUGCAGCUCUAAGUGGGUGGUAAAUUCCAUCUAAAGCUAAAUAUUGGCGAGAGACCGAUAGCGAACAAGUACAGUGAUGGAAAGAUGAAAAGAACUUUGAAAAGAGAGUGAAAAAGUACGUGAAAUUGUUGAAAGGGAAGGGCUUGAGAUCAGACUUGGUAUUUUGUAUGUUACUCUCUCGGGGGUGGCCUCUACAGUUUACCGGGCCAGCAUCAGUUUGAGCGGUAGGAUAAGUGCAAAGAAAUGUGGCACUGCUUCGGUAGUGUGUUAUAGUCUUUGUCGAUACUGCCAGCUUAGACUGAGGACUGCGGCUUCGGCCUAGGAUGUUGGCAUAAUGAUCUUAAGUCGCCCGUCUUGAACCACGGACCA
rnacentral:rRNA from 1 species